rnacentral:rRNA from 1 species
GAUGAACGCUGGCGGCGUGCCUAAUACAUGCAAGUCGAGCGAACAGACGAGGAGCUUGCUCCUCUGACGUUAGCGGCGGACGGGUGAGUAACACGUGGAUAACCUACCUAUAAGACUGGGAUAACUUCGGGAAACCGGAGCUAAUACCGGAUAAUAUAUUGAACCGCAUGGUUUAAUAGUGAAAGACGGUUUUGCUGUCACUUAUAGAUGGAUCCGCGCCGCAUUAGCUAGUUGGUAAGGUAACGGCUUACCAAGGCAACGAUGCGUAGCCGACCUGAGAGGGUGAUCGGACACACUGGAACUGAGACACGGUCCAGACUCCUAAGGGAGGCAGCAGUAGGGAAUCUUCCGCAAUGGGCGAAAGCCUGACGGAGCAACGCCGCGUGAGUGAUGAAGGUCUUCGGAUCGUAAAACUCUGUUAUUAGGGAAGAACAAAUGUGUAAGUAACUAUGCACGUCUUGACGGUACCUAAUCAGAAAGCCACGGCUAACUACGUG